rnacentral:rRNA from 1 species
CAGGCUUAACACAUGCAAGUCGAGGGGCAGCAUGGUCUUAGCUUGCUAAGACUGAUGGCGACCGGCGCACGGGUGAGUAACACGUAUCCAACCUGCCGUCUACUCUUGGACAGCCUUCUGAAAGGAAGAUUAAUACAAGAUGGCAUCAUGAGUCCGCAUGUUCACAUGAUUAAAGGUAUUCCGGUAGACGAUGGGGAUGCGUUCCAUUAGAUAGUAGGCGGGGUAACGGCCCACCUAGUCUUCCAUGGAUAGGGGUUCUGAAAGGAAGGUCCCCCACAUUGGAACUGAGACACGGUCCAAACUCCUACGGGAGGCAGCAGUGAGGAAUAUUGGUCAAUGGGCGAGAGCCUGAACCAGCCAAGUAGCGUGAAGGAUGACUGCCCUAUGGGUUGUAAACUUCUUUUAUAAAGGAAUAAAGUCGGGUAUGCAUACCCGUUUGCAUGUACUUUAUGAAUAAGGAUCGGCUAACUCCGUGCCAGCAGCCGCGGUAAUACGGAGGAUCCGAGCGUUAUCCGGAUUUAUUGGGUUUAAAGGGAGCGUAGAUGGAUGUUUAAGUCAGUUGUGAAAGUUUGCGGCUCAACCGUAAAAUUGCAGUUGAUACUGGAUAUCUUGAGUGCAGUUGAGGCAGGCGGAAUUCGUGGUGUAGCGGUGAAAUGCUUAGAUAUCACGAAGAACUCCGAUUGCGAAGGCAGCCUGCUAAGCUGCAACUGACAUUGAGGCUCGAAAGUGUGGGUAUCAAACAGGAUUAGAUACCGUGGUAGUCCACACGGUAAACGAUGAAUACUCGCUGUUUGCGAUAUACAGCAAGCGGCCAAGCGAAAGCGUUAAGUAUUCCACGUGGGGAGUACGCCGGCAACGGUGAAACUCAAAGGAAUUGACGGGGGCCCGCACAAGCGGAGGAACAUGUGGUUUAAUUCGAUGAUACGCGAGGAACCUUACCCGGGCUUAAAUUGCAGAUGAAUUACGGUGAAAGCCGUAAGCCGCAAGGCAUCUGUGAAGGUGCUGCAUGGUUGUCGUCAGCUCGCGCCGUGAGGUGUCGGCUUAAGUGCCAUAACGAGCGCAACCCUUGUUGUCAGUUACUAACAGGUUCCGCUGAGGACUCUGACAAGACUGCCAUCGUAAGAUGUGAGGAAGGUGGGGAUGACGUCAAAUCAGCACGGCCCUUACGUCCGGGGCUACACACGUGUUACAAUGGGGGGUACAGAGGGCCGCUACCACGCGAGUGGAUGCCAAUCCCAAAAACCUCUCUCAGUUCGGACUGGAGUCUGCAACCCGACUCCACGAAGCUGGAUUCGCUAGUAAUCGCGCAUCAGCCACGGCGCGGUGAAUACGUUCCCGGGCCUUGUACACACCGCCCGUCAAGCCAUGGGAGCCGGGGGCACCUGAAGUGCGUAACCACGAGGAGCGCCCUAGGGUAAAACUGGUGAC